GAUGAACGCUGGCGGCGUGCUUAACGCAUGCAAGUCGAACGGUGAAGCAGAGCUUGCUCUGUGGAUCAGUGGCGAACGGGUGAGUAACACGUGAGCAACCUGCCCCGGACUCUGGGAUAAGCGCUGGAAACGGCGUCUAAUACCGGAUAUGAGCUGCGAUCGCAUGGUCAGCAGUUGGAAAGAUUUUUCGGUCUGGGAUGGGCUCACGGCCUAUCAGCUUGUUGGUGAGGUAAUGGCUCACCAAGGCGUCGACGGGUAGCCGGCCUGAGAGGGUGACCGGCCACACUGGGACUGAGACACGGCCCAGACUCCAACGGGAGGAAGGAGUGGGGAAUAUUGCACAAUGGGCGGAAGCCUGAUGCAGCAACGCCGCGUGAGGGAUGACGGCCUUCGGGCUGUAAACCUCUUUUAGCAGGGAGGAAGCGAAAGUGACGGUACCUGCAGAAAAAGCGCCGGCUAACUACGUGCCAGCCGCCGCCGUAA
rnacentral:rRNA from 1 species